rnacentral:rRNA from 1 species
UACGGAGGGUGCAAACGUUGCUCGGAAUCAUUGGGCGUAAAGCGCACGUAGGCGGCCUGUUAAGUCGGGGGUGAAAUCCUGGAGCUCAACUCCAGAACUGCCUUCGAUACUGGCGAUCUUGAGUCCGGAAGAGGUGAGUGGAACUCCUAGUGUAGAGGUGGAAUUCGUAGAUAUUAGGAAGAACACCAGUGGCGAAGGCGGCUCACUGGUCCGGUACUGACGCUGAGGUGGCGAAAGCGU